CUGAGAUGUGGACAGGUUUCUUUCACUGCAGCAAUGACUCGGGUGAAACUUGCUGCUUCACUGGGAGCUUCUUUAAUAUGGUUAUCGGGUGGCGUGGGUUUGGUUCAGCCAUUGUUCAAAGAAACUUUACCUUCUUGGUUUAUUGCUGUUCACAGGUCUGACCAGGAAGAAGGACCUGAAGGGAUGGUUGCCAUGCUUGGG
rnacentral:misc_RNA from 1 species